AUAGGAAAUAGGCGCUUCCGCAUAAUCGGUAUGUGUCGCGCACUAAACUGUUUACGUAUGCACCGGUUAACAACGUCGAUGUGUUCCGGCACUCGCAGUCAGAAAGAAGCUGUGUGUUCACUGUUGGCACAUUGAAUGAUUGACAGCAUUGGAUAAAUAAUGCUCUAUUGGAUAAAUACGUAAAGUACAUUGGACAGCUGAGAUUGUGGUGUGGACAGCUGAGAUUGUGUUUUGGACAGCUGAGAUUGUGACUUGGACAGCUGAGAUUGUGGUGUGGACAGCUGAGAUUGGUGUGGACAGCUGAGAUUGUGGUGUUGACAUCUGAAAUUGGGAUUUGGACAGCUGAGAUUGUGACCUGGACAGCUGAGAUUGUGCUGUGGACAGCUAAAAUUGUGGUGUGGACUACUGAUAUUGUGGUGUUGACAACAUAUUGUGGUGUGCACCUGUGAUAUUGUGGUGUGAUGGUUUAAAGUAGCAAAGGUAAAGAACGUUUGACAGCUUAGAUUGUGGAGUGGACAGCUGAUAUUGUGGUGUGGACAGCUGAGAUUGUCAUGUCGACUACUUAUAGUGUGGCUUGCAGAGCUGAUACUGUGGUGUGAUGCUUUAAAGUACUAAAGAUUAAAUAUGAAGAUCAUAGUGUGUUUGAUGUAAGCAUAGACGAGGUGUGUGAGGACCUGAGAAAUGGCACGCUUCAGUUCAUAUAGAUUUAUUCCUUACUACCUUCCUGUCAACUAUAUCUUCCACAGCAUGAUUCAAUCUAGUCCCAAUCAUUGCCUCUGGUCACCAGAUGGUCCGUCCACAGAGUCACAAGCAACAGAUACUAAAACUCGGCAAAGUACAUGUACUUCAGACUUCCAGAGGAUAUUGUUAACAAUGAUGAUUUGAUGUUAAAAAGAAAAUGUAUUUGAAUAGCUAUAUUUCUCUUGUGUCACUUGGGUGUCAAAGGUCAUUUCAGAGAUUGUCCGGGCUGUAACUUUGCAACGCAUAAACGGGCUUAAAUGUUUGCUCAGCUAGACAGUGUUGUGUUGAACUCCCAGUCCUUUUGACCGCUGGUGGGCUCGACAUGUUUCCUGUGGGCAUUUAGUUUAUAUUGCAUAUACUUCAAGUAGAUACACAUUUUAGAAUACCGGUAGAUAACCAAAUAAGAAAGAAAACAUUUUUUUAUUUUACAUAAUAGCAAAAUUUGGAAAAUUUUAACUUCUACUUUCACUGUUAUAUAUAGAGGAUAAUUGUUGGUUUCGGUGUAAUAUCACGUUAUAAUUUCACCGAGUGGGCACCAGAAGUGAUAUUUUCACGAGUGGCGCAGCCACGAGUGAAAAUAACAACUUUUGGUGUUCACGAGUGAAAUUACCGUGAUAUUACAUCGAUACCAACAAUUUUUCUGUUUAUUUUAUGUCUAAAACUCUACUUUUGUUGUGUUUAUUUCAAUAAAAUGUCGAAAUUUGCGGGAAAUUUUAUCAGGAAGCAUCGCAAAGGUGACGUCAUUUUAACGACGUCAUCGUCAUAUUGUUUCCGGCUUUCAGUACGCUCGGUAAACUUUUUGACAUUAAUCCGGGUAUCAGAUUUGAUAAUUUUCACUGAGUGGCCAGUGAGUUUAUCAGGAUAUAAUUCACCGUUAUAUUUCGAUAAACCACCGAAAAACAUAAAAUAAUAUUAUAUAAUCACUUAUGAUGAGUAUGAAUGCAAUAUAGACACUGUAGAAAAUUAAUCCCGCAUUUUUAAAGAUACAAUAUCUUGUUAUCUAUUAUUGUCAAUCAUUGGUAUGUAAGAUUUUUGCCAUAGGUUUGAAUAGCUGACAAGCAUGGUAGAAAUUAUUAUUUACCAUUAACGGACUAAAUUUCUAUAAUUAACAUGUCCAUCUUUCAAUAUGGACACUAUCAUUAAAUGAAAGGGAUGGCUACCAAAACACACUGACUGAAUGCAAACAGUGAAGAUCUUGAUCAGGCUAUACAGAUGUGCAGGCUGAUCAUGAUCUACAUUGUUCACAAAGGCAGAAUCAAUCGUAUCCAGCAUGAUAAGGGUUAAAUCCAUUGUUUUUACUGCCUCCUUUUUUGGCUCAUUAUUGUACAAGUACAUAUACAGCAUUGCUUUUCUAACCAUGUAAUAAUGCAUAUGAUUGGUUUUCAAAAUAAAGAGGCUUUUUCUCCUCUCUCACCAUACUUUAAAUAAGUUCAGUUUUAGAAAGUGUUUUGGGGCAAACUAUAUUCAAAUCAAUGUAGUCAAUGAAUGUGUGCAGUUUCAGGUGAAUGGCUCAAGCAGUUUUAUAUCAAAUUAUAUAGUUAAUUUUGUCCCCUGUGAAUCCUAGAAAGUGUGACAUUUUAUAUGAAGGGUAGUUUUCAACUGUGAUUUAUUUUUUCAAACCAAGCAUUAUUGUAACAGCUUUAAUUUUUUAUGUAACUCAAACACUGCACAUUUAAAGGAAAAUACUUUUUUUCAUAAACUACAUUUUAUUCUUACCAAUGUGUCAAAUCUUGUGAUGUAACCCCAUUCACAAAUAA